rnacentral:rRNA from 1 species
UACGGAGGGUGCAAACGUUGCUCGGAAUCAUUGGGCGUAAAGCGCACGUAGGCGGACUGUUAAGUCGGAUGUGAAAGCCCUCGGCUUAAACCGAGGAAGUGCAUUCGAAACUGGCAGUCUUGAGUACAGAAGAGGGUCGCGGAAUUCCCGGUGUAGAGGUGAAAUUCGUAGAUAUCGGGAGGAACACCAGUGGCGAAGGCGGCGACCUGGGCUGAUACUGACGCUGAGGUGCGAAAGCGUGGGGAGCAA